rnacentral:rRNA from 1 species
AACGAACGCUGGCGGCAUGCCUAACACAUGCAAGUCGAACGAGACCUUCGGGUCUAGUUGCGCACGGGUGCGUAACGCGUGGGAACCUGCCCUUAGGUUCGGAAUAACUCCCCGAAAGGGGUGCUAUUACCGGGAAAGUUCUUCGAACAAAAGAUUAACCGCUUUUGGAUGGGCCGGCGUUGGAUUAACUAGUUGGUAGGGUAAAAGCCUACCAAGGCGACGAUCCAUAGCUGGUCUGAGAGGAUGAUCAGCCACACUGGGACUGAGACACGGCCCAGACUCCUACGGGAGGCAGCAGUGGGGAAUAUUGGACAAUGGGCGAAAGCCUGAUCCAGCAAUGCCGCGUGAGUGAUGAAGGCCUUAGGGUUGUAAAGCUCUUUUACCCGGGAUGAUAAUGACAGUACCGGGAGAAUAAGCGCCGGCUAACUCCGUG